rnacentral:lncRNA from 1 species
AUACCAAGCAUCCGGGUAAACGAAAGACAACUCAAAGGGGAUAAAUUGCAAGCAUCCGGCAAUUAUCCAAACAACAAAUAUUCGACUCCGCAAAGGGAACAACGAAUCUUACUCGACUAGGGAAACACCAAAGGCUUCGACUGAAGAGUGCAUGAGAUAUAUUAUCCAUUACCGUCAGAACGUGGAUAACACACUCGCAUGGAAGAUUAUCCACAACCGGUUACUGGGUUAACAAAGGACAAAUCGACCGAAAAGAAAGGCAUCGGGAUACCAAAAC